AAAGAUAUGCCAACGACUGGGAUGACCUCAUACAGAGACUUCAGAAAAACGACACUUUAUUUCAGCUGUUCUAUAAACAUUACAGCAGCAUGUAUCAAGGGACGCCGUGCCAUGGCAACUGUAAAACUGACAUCCUCUGUGACAUGGUUGAAGGAAGGUCAUAUGACCCAGACCUGUGCCAACAACACAUCAGGCCAUAAGUGUAAAUAGUGAUGAAGGAUAGAGACAAUCAGAAGUUUGAUGUAAAAAAAAAGACUGUAUCAACAAAUCAAGUCUUCACGCCAUUGUGCUUUCCUUUUCAUUUGUUUGCAUAGGAUUUUCAAGUGAUGAACCUUAUAAAGAAUGGCUUGUGCACACAGAGACUAACAGAAAUGGACCGUCAACUCUAUUUAUUUAAAGUUGUAAUUACACAGUUUAACAUAACCCGUGGCCUGUUCAUUUUAAAGUAUUUAUCCACGUUCACAUUCUAUUUUUAUCUUCUGUUUAUACAGUAAAAAGAGAAAGUAACUCUAAGCCAGAAGUAGACCACUCCUGUACAGGAACCUCUCCAGUUUUGAAGUAUAGAAAGUGAGCUAGCGGUUCUUCUCUAUUCCUAGUUUCUUUUUUUCUAUUUUGAAUAUUUAUGUAAAAGCCUUACUCAUAGAUCUAGACUAAUUCUGUGUCACCACUGAUGAUAUUAAGAUGCGUGUACAG
rnacentral:sRNA from 1 species